GUUUGAUCAUGGCUCAGGAUGAACGCUGGCGGCGUGCCUAAUACAUGCAAGUUGAACGUGAGUCCCAUCUUCGGACGGGAUGAAAGUGGCGUCCGGGUGAGUAACACGUAGCUGACCUACCCCUGGCAGGGGGAUAACCCGCGGAAACGCGGGCUAAUACCGCGUAAGCUCGGUGGGCUUAGAAGCCAUCGAGGAAAGCUUUGGCGGCGAGGGAGGGGGCUGCGGUCCAUCAGCUAGCUGGUGCGGUAACGGCGCACCAGGGCGAUGACGGAUAGGGGACCUGAGAGGGUGACCCCCCCACACUGGUACUGACACACGGACCAGACUCCUACGGGAGGCAGCAGUAAGGAAUAUUGCGCAAUGGGCGAAAGCCUGACGCAGCAACGCCGCGUGCGGGACGAAGGUCUUCGGAUCGUAAACCGCUUUCCUGCGGGAAGAGGAAGGACGGUACCGCAGGAAGAAGUCUCGGCUAACUACGUGCCAGCAGCCGCGGUAAAACGUAGGAGGCGAGCGUUAUCCGGAUUUACUGGGCGUAAAGCGCGUGCAGGCGGUCGAGCAAGUUGUGCGUGAAAGCUCCCAGGCUUAACCGGGAGAGGACGUGCAAAACUACGCGACUCGAGACAGACAGAGGCAAGUAGAAUUCCGGGUGUAGUGGUGAAAUGCGUAGAGAUCCGGAGGAAUACCAGAGGCGAAGGCGGCUUGCUGGGUCUGUUCUGACGCUCAGACGCGAAAGCAUGGGGAGCGAACGGGAUUAGAAACCCCGGUAGUCCAUGCUGUAAACGAUGUUAACUAGGCGUCGGGGGCGUCAUGCCUUCGGUGCCGAAGCCAACGCGCUAAGUUAACCGCCUGGGGAGUACGGUCGCAAGGCUAAAACUCAAAG
rnacentral:rRNA from 1 species